UGAUGUGGCCUUACCUCCUUGUCAAAGCCUGAUCUCUACAGAUCUCUGAAGCUAAGCAGGGCUGGUCUGGUUAGUACUUGGAUGGGAGACUGCUGGGAAUAUCAGGUGCCACAGUGG
rnacentral:rRNA from 1 species